rnacentral:tRNA from 1 species
GGGGUUGUGGCUCAGUGUUUGAGUGCUUGCCUAGCACAUAUGAGGCACUGGGUUCGAUCCUCAGCACCACA